rnacentral:rRNA from 1 species
UGAAGCGGGAAAAGCUCAAAUUUAAAAUCUGGCAGUCCUGCUGUCCGAGUUGUAAUCUGGAGAAGCAUUUUCUGUGUCGGACCGUGUACAAGUCUCUUGGAAUAGAGCGUCAUAGAGGGUGAGAAUCCCGUCCAUGACACGGACUACCGAUGCUCUGUGAUAUGCUUUCGAAGAGUCGAGUUGUUUGGGAUUGCAGCUCAAAAUGGGUGGUAAAUUCCAUCUAAAGCUAAAUAUUGGCGAGAGACCGAUAGCGAACAAGUACCGUGAGGGAAAGAUGAAAAGCACUUUGGAAAGAGAGUUAAACAGUACGUGAAAUUGUUGAAAGGGAAACGCUUGAAGUCAGUCGCGUUGUCUGGGAUUCAGCCUUGCUUGCAUGGUGCACUUCCCAGUUGACGGGUCAACAUCAAUUUUGGUUGGUGGAUAAAGGUGGAAGAAAUGUGGCACCUUCGGGUGUGUUAUAGUCUUUCAUUGCAUACACUGACUGGGAUUGAGGAACGCAGCACGCCACUAAGGCCGGGGGUUCGCCCCACGUAACGUGCUUAGGAUGUUGGCAUAAUGGCUUUAAGCGACCCGUCUUGAAACACGGACCAAGGAGUCUAACAUGCUUGCGAGUGUUAGGGUGGAAAACCCUUGCGCGUAAUGAAAGUGAAAGUUGAGACCCUUCGCGGGGGCAUCGACGCCCGGCCCUGAAGUUUACUGACGGUGCUGCGGUAGAGCACGUAUGUUGGGACCCGAAAGAUGGUGAACUAUGCCUGAAUAGGGUGAAGCCAGGGGAAACUCUGGUGGAGGCUCGUAGCGAUUCUGACGUGCAAAUCGAUCGUCAAAUUUGGG